rnacentral:rRNA from 1 species
AUGGAGUUACUGAAACACCAUCCACCUGUUGUCCAUAAAGGUUUUUUUUUGAGAGAAAAUGACACCAUAUCCAUUGGACAUGUUGUUGCCCAGAUCAUGGAUACCCACAAGGUUGAGAUAGUCCAAUUAGAAAUUUUAACAGAUGCGCAUUACUCCCGCCGUGACGAUGAUGAUCUGGUCCACCAUGGGAGAAAGUUUAUGUUGUUAUUUGAAACUUGCCUGACAGCAUUUGGCGGUCUCAGGCGCCUCAAGCUGGUUUUGGACCUCAUUGCAACCACAAAAUGGUCCAAGUUAAGUGAGUUUCUUGGUGGCACCUCUGUUCAUAACCCGAGGUUAGGAUUUGAGAGUGAAAAGGUGUCGGUCUAUGGUAUGCAGUUCGAGAGGCACACCCAGCAAACAAGGCUCCCGCCGCCGCCGCCCCUCACCCUCGGCCGCCUGCCCUCGUUCCUCCUCCCAUCUUGCCUCCCUCACCAAUUUCUCCGCUCGUCAGGGACGCACACUGCGCUGUCGCCCAUCCUUUUGCGUCGGGAAGGCAUCGACCCUGCCAUUCCUCCGCACGACCGGAGAUGCAGACGCCGUCGCCGCCCCCUCGCCCUCGGACGCCUGCCCUCGUUCCUCCUCCAAGCUCGCCUCCCUCGCCAAAUUGUCCGCUCGUCGGGGACGCACACUGCAUCGGGAAGACAUCGGGGAAGGCAUCGCCCCUGCCGUUCCUCCGCGCGACCGGAGAUGCAGAUGCCGCUGUUGUUCGCCCGCACGGCCAGGAAUGACACAAGUACCGAUGGACCCGUCCUCCUCAACUGCAGCAGUUCAGCAGACAACAAAACACAGAGGAGACGUUUGGUUCAGAUCAUGUUAACGCAAAUGCUGGUGAUGCUCUUGCGCUACCGUCGAUGGCGUCUCACUGCUCUACACAACGUACUGCCACCCCAUGGCCGUCGUGUUGUCCUCCUGGGCCGCCUGGUCGGCUCGACUGCUCUUGGUUGUCGCAUCCCACGCGAACCACGGCCCCUCCGCCCCUCCCUCGCCCCCUUGCCGGAGAUCAGAUUUGAGGAGACGAGAAAGAACGGGAGGGAUAACCCUGGGGAGAAGAAAGAGAAGGGCGAUGUAUCCGUGUCGCCGUCGCUGCCGUCGGAAGAUGGCUGCCCCGUCCCUGUCACUUCUGCCUUGUGGAGAAGACCCUCUAGCCUGUACGACCGCGCGCCCAAGCUAGCGCUACCGGCAGCAAGCCAGCAACUACGCCAUCAUUUCCUUGCCUAUAGUCCCUUAAACCUCUCACCAAACGUGUUCUUCCUCCCAUCUCAUCCUCGUGAAGGGGUUGAAAUGUCCUCUACUGACAACUGGAUAUUAGAUGUCUCAUUGAUCGUGCACGCAUGCCCGAUAAUUCUGUCAAUCAGUUUGGUUGCCCCUUGCCAUGUUUUAUUGGAGAGAAAAUGUGGCCAUGAGUUGAUAACUGAAACUGUCCCAAAUCUGGUGAUGCUUUUUUUCAUGUUGUUGCUUCUGCAGGUUCUGAUAAUCUUAUUCAUGGAUCAGGAAAUUAUAAUUUGUGACUUUGUAGUUCUCAGUAAAGACAAGCUGAUAGUUUUCACAAUGGACAUCCACAUCCUAUAG